AAGUCGUAACAAGGUUUCCGUAGGUGAACCUGCGGAAGGAUCAUUACCAAUAAAAAUUAUUCAAACCCAUGUGCACGGUGAAUGAAUGUCUUGGUUUUUGGGGUGGGCUUUAACGGUUUCACCCCAGCCAUUUUGUUUAACUACGUUUUACAAUUGUCAUGGCAUCGAAACUUGUCUUAAUAAAUUAUUAUGACAACUUUUAACGGUGGAUCUCUUGGCUCGUGGAUCG
rnacentral:misc_RNA from 1 species